AGCACAUGUGUCAAAGGAAUUGGAGGUGGGUGCUUUUAUAAGUAAGAGUGAUUCUGUCCCUCAGCAAAGCAUGGAGCACUUUGCCGGUGACCUUCUCCGUGAGUGGGGCUGAAAUUGGAUGAUUGCGUGCUGUGUUACUGGACAAGUGACAGGUGGCUGUAUCUCCGAGCUUGAAGGCAGGCAAUCUUACCUACCCAGUCCAUGUGCUCUACUCCCAGUUCCCAGUUUCUUUACAGAUCUGUUCUUUGAGUGUUUGUGAGGGACACUUCUUUUCUCCACAAGGCCACCA
rnacentral:lncRNA from 1 species